GGAGUUAUUGAGUAAUGACGAAAUUGAGCAGAAGAUAGCACUCCCACCUGAGGAAGUUGAUGCGUACGCAGCUAGGCUUCAAGCUGAGAUCGAGGCGCCGCCACCGGCAGGUAAUGCAGUUGAGGCUACCGAGAUCCAGUCCAAGCGGUUGGAGCAUGCCACGGGAUCGGGGCUGUUCGUCCCCGAGGUGGUGGAUACACUGGUACAAAAUAACAGGUGGACCGACCUGGUGGACUACUUGAAGAAGUGUGUGACGCGCUAUGCAGCUGAUUCUGUGAUUCCAGAUAAUGGCGCAACGGGCGAUGGGCUCGUGCUGGUACAUGCCGAGCUUUUCCUGUCAGCUCACAAGCCGCAUGUGCUAGAUCUUCUUGCUCUACACCAGGACGGGGGCGAUGCCCGUCUCUACUACGACAUGCACAUCAGGCCACUCGGCCUAUCUG